rnacentral:rRNA from 1 species
AAUUGCUUUUGAAGCCCUCGGGUGGAUGUUGCAAUUCUUAGUGGCGGACGGGUGAGUAACGCGUGGAUAACCUGGCCCAUACAGGGGGAUAGCAGUUGGAAACGACUGAUAAUACCGCAUAAGCGCACGGUACCGCAUGGUACAGUGUGAAAAACUCCGGUGGUAUGGGAUGGAUCCGCGUCUGAUUAGGCAGUUGGCGGGGUAACGGCCCACCAAACCGACGAUCAGUAGCCGGCCUGAGAGGGUGAACGGCCACAUUGGGACUGAGACACGGCCCAAACUCC